UUCUUCACCGCUUCUUUCCCUCCCCCUCCACGCCUAAUCUGCUAAACGACGACCUUCUCGACGACAUCCUCUCGCACCUACCCGCCUUAUCAUUCGCAUCAGCGGCGUGCGUUAGCAAAUUCUGGAACCCAAUCUGCAGCCGAAUCCUUGCUCGCCCGAAGCUCGCCUCUGCCCUCUCUCUCCACCCCUCUCCUAAGGUUGCGGUGAAGGAGGUUAUCGAGAAGGUUCUGACUGGGCCGAUACGGCCUCAUUUCGUUGUGGCUAAUAUUGGAAAAGGGUUUGGAUUGUAUGACAUUUCCAAGUUUGUAUGUGUUCUUGCUCAUAAAAACCCCUUAAUCUUAAUUAGUAUAUCUGAGCACGGUGAGAUUUUUGUAUAAUAUUUUUUUUUUUUUUUUGUGGGUUUUGUCGGUUUUAGACAUUUUUCUGUGAAAGCAUUAAUUUUUGUAUGAUUUUUUAUUGUGGGUUUCGAUUAUUUGGUUAUUAAUUUGGGUAUUUGAGCUGCUGGAUGCUCGGAGCGGGAACCUUUUCUGCCCAUUCCUCUAAGGCAGUCCGCCCUAGCCAUAUUCCAGUCGGGAUCUUUUUCUGAUGGAGUUUGUGAUGUUUUGCGAAUAGGGUUGAAAUCCAUUGGCUUGAACACAAUGGCAUCAUCAACAGUAUCCGGUAAUUCCCGGGGAUCGAAGUCUAAUAGCAGUAGGUGCACUAAUUAUCAAACCCUAAUUUUAACUGUUAGGAUCAUUACGGAUUUGGGUAUUUUUAUAAAAUUAAAAAAUUAAAAAAAUUGCGUUGCUUCUACGUGCUGUAUAUUGGCUGAUGUUCAGAGUAUUUUUUGUAUUGUUGACCACGUCGGCUUGGUUUUGUUUGCUACGAUUGGUGAGGCUUAUGUGACUGUUGAUGGGUUUGGUUAACAGGGUUUUCAUUCCUUUUCAGAUUUGUGGAAUGAGAUUCUUAUGAGUAGUCAAUUUUAGUGGGAUUGUUGUUUCAAUCUGGAUAAUGAAUGAUGUCGUUUUCCUAUUCGGUCUGUCCUUUGAUGGUGUAGCAGAUCUGGAAUUUUGUGAAAUGCUCUUUCUGAUUAGAAAUAUAGAAUUGGUUUUAAUUUUUAAAUUAUUUUCUUAACUGUUUGGUUCUGAUGUGCUUUACCGAUAAAUCAAGGGUUUGCAAGAUAUUUUUUUGUUGUUCUCUUUAAAUGGUGGGUGUUAUCAUUUUCUCUCUUUUUUCAUAUCUGUCUUGCCAUUGACUGGGGAUGUGGGUGAUACUGCUACCCUGUACGCCGCAGUACAGGGCUGUAACAAGAUUAUCUAUUGUGCUACUGAAAACAUUUUUCUUUUGCUGUGUUUUUUCUUUUGCUGUUUGGAUUUAGGAGCUAAAACAUUUUUCUUUUGCAAUAUUUUAGGUGGAUGAUGCGAUCUGGGCUGCUGAAAAUGCCACAUUGAAAGCUGAGAUGAGUGGAAAGAAGCUAAUGCACCCAUGGAACAACUUAAGCUCAACCCUCAGCUUCAGACGUUUCAAGCGUGGCUUUGGGAUUCUGCAACUGUGAGUAUACACUCUUUCCCGGGUUUAAGGACUAUAAAGGUGCUUAGGGUUUGCGUUCGGUGUUUGAAUUAAAUAACUUUGGGUUAAACCAUUCUGUAAUAUCAGUAGGUUUGUUUUAGGUAUCUUAUGGUUUUAGAAUUGCCUUUGUACAAAGGAUUAUUAUGGCAACGAGAUCAUGUCGCUCUGGGAAGCUCUUUUGA